AUUGAACGCUGGCGGCAUGCCUUACACAUGCAAGUCGAACGGUAACAGGUCUUCGGAUGCUGACGAGUGGCGAACGGGUGAGUAAUACAUCGGAACGUGCCCGAGAGUGGGGGAUAACGGAGCGAAAGCUUUGCUAAUACCGCAUACGAUCUCAGGAUGAAAGCAGGGGACCGCAAGGCCUUGCGCUCACGGAGCGGCCGAUGGCAGAUUAGGUAGUUGGUGGGAUAAAAGCUUACCAAGCCGACGAUCUGUAGCUGGUCUGAGAGGACGACCAGCCACACUGGGACUGAGACACGGCCCAGACUCCUACGGGAGGCAGCAGUGGGGAAUUUUGGACAAUGGGCGCAAGCCUGAUCCAGCCAUGCCGCGUGCAGGAUGAAGGCCUUCGGGUUGUAAACUGCUUUUGUACGGAACGAAACGGCUCUUUCUAAUAAAGAGGGCUAAUGACGGUACCGUAAGAAUAAGCACCGGCUAACUACGUGCCAGCCGCCGCGGUAA
rnacentral:rRNA from 1 species